CUCAGGUGCCACUCAAAAUUAUGACCUCACAAUGUGGACAGUUUCAUACUCUUGCUGUCCACUUCAAGUUUCUUUACAGAACACAGAAGAUUCCUCUUUUACUUUCACUUUUCUGAGCUGUUUCCUCAAAGAAAGGUAGUAAAUGGCGAGAAGAAAGGAGAAGGGAAGAAGAAAACAAAUGAGAUACUCCACAAAGAUAAAUGUAAAACCCCCUUCACCCUCAAGAAAUGAAAUUAUUCUGACAGGGUCAGAGAUUCUGCUUGGCAAACCAUCUUAAAUUAAUUACCUGCUUGACAUUUUAAAGGAAGGUUUCAGAUUGUAAAUUUAACCCAGACAAAGCAUUCUUUUUAAUCUUGUCAGUAUGCAAACUACUUUGCACUGCAGUCUGUGAAUUAUUUAUCAGAGAAACGACCCCAAAGGGUAAAAGGAAAAUCGGGAGUAUUUGAUCUCAGGUUCUGCAGCCUGAUGUAGUUCACUGCCUUAGAUCUGUACCUGUUGCAGUUGCUUAAUUUCUCUUUGUUUGAUGUUGUUAAUAUUUAGCUUUCACACUCUGCUUCUCUAGUAUCUAUCUAUAUAUAUUUAAAGGUAUUUGUGUAAGCUUUAAAACUGUGCCCCAGCAAAUAUAUUUAUCUGUUUUCCAGGGGAAAACAAAACAAAGUAAAAAAAGCAAAACAAAAUAAUAUUAAAAGCAGAGCAAAAUAAUAAUAAAAGAUAAAUAAAGGGGACAAAAUUACAUAACUUCUGUUCAAUAAGCUCAAUAAGGUUUUGUUACAAUAAGUAUGCAGUGUUCAUGGAUAUUUGCUUGUUUCAUAUUGCUUUUUUUUUUUUUUUUUUCUUUCCUACACUCAGGUGAAAAUACAACCUGAAAUAAUUCUUAUACCCAUACAAAAUGCACAACUAAGAAACUGAAGACUUGUGCUUAAUGUAUAUCCCAGGUCCCUCUUUAAUGAAAUCCAGGGAUGAUUUCAGUAUCUACAAAGCUAAAGAACUGGUUGACGGCUCUGAGGCAUCACAUUCUUGGUGCAAAAAAUCUGGGGAUCAUGACUGGGGACCACUCUCCCUGCCAUGGAUAACUAUCCUGCCUCACAACAGAUCUCUGGAUGACACUUAAGGACUUGUUUAACCUUAGACAAAACCUCAAGUGCAUUCUGGAGACAUACUGAGACGAACAAGCUUGUCUGAACGUCCCAAGUAUAGUCAAAGCUUUGGAAAGCUACCAUAACUCGCCUGGAGGAGAAGAAAGGGAGAAUCAACAAGCGGGAAGACACAUCUUCCCCUGAACCUACCUCAGAAGCUAUUAACAAUGACACCUUUCACACUUUUUCCUCAGGGUGCCCGUCUCUGGGGGAGGGGGGAAGAUGGCCAACAAUAAUCUCUUUCUUUCAAGUUAUCUCUCUGAAACUCUACCUUCUCGCAGAUUAAAGGCUUUUGACUUGCUUGUUGUGAAAACAGCAUUUCUUUUAUGAACAGCACAUUCUCACAAUUGACACUUUGCAAAAGUAGCGAUAACACCAUCAGUAUCUACCCAAAUCCGUUUCUUCUUAUCACAAAGCAAGGUAAGAAUUCACAGUAAGGCACCUUUUUCAUAUAGCCUGUUGUUCAGUCUUCACAAAUACUUAGAAACAUUCUUCAAGGUCAGCCUUACCUGCAUACACUUGAGCUUCUGAGGUUGGCUUCCUUAAUUUAUUGUUAUUAUUUUUAUUUAUUAAGUUUUAAGGAAGGAAACUUAGAAUCCAUGUAAGUAGCUUCACUGAAAACAGACAAGGUAAAGGAAGUACUCAAAUUCCCCAACAUGAAACAACUGUAGAACCCAGGGAACACUUACCUGCCAGCCUCUGAACUUGAGUCACUGCCAAUCUAUUUCCCAGUGAAGUAGUACCACCAGGGCUUUAUUGUACUGAGAAGGCACCACCAACGUAACUAGCUCAUAGAGUCUCUAAUAUUAUUUCGCAGAGACGGUAGAAAACAUGAAGAAAAAAAGCAGCCAACUGGGGAACAUUGAGUCCAUUUCACCAUUACAGUAAAAUAGCACCCUAGGUAUCCUGAGCCUCAAAUUCCCCCUCAGAAAAUAAUUCCUCCCAUCACUCCUCAUGCUACCUAUAUAGCAAAGGUCAAAUGAUCCCCACCUGGCAGAUUUCACUUCACAAGGGUGGAGCCAAAAGCCCUUGUGGAAUAGGCUCAUCUACUUGGCUUCAAUGUUUUAAGGUCAUUUGCUCCUUAUCACUAAGAGAAAUAACCUGACAAGGGGCUUAGUGGUUAGAGUUGAUCUAAUGAAUUAACUACAAAAGGUGCAUACGGGUCAUAUUUCUGUUAGUCAUUCUGUGAGGAAAAUUAGUACAGAGCCUGUUAAAAAAAGAUAAAUAAACAUAAAUAAAAGAAUAAAGAAAAUGACCUU
rnacentral:lncRNA from 1 species